GAUGAACGCUGGCGGCGUGCUUAACACAUGCAAGUCGAACGGAAAGGCCCAAGCUUGCUUGGGUACUCGAGUGGCGAACGGGUGAGUAACACGUGGGUGAUCUGCCCUGCACUUCGGGAUAAGCCUGGGAAACUGGGUCUAAUACCGGAUAGGACGAUGGUUUGGAUGCCAUUGUGGAAAGUUUUUUCGGUGUGGGAUGGGCUCGCGGCCUAUCAGCUUGUUGGUGGGGUAUUGGCCUACCAAGGCGUCGACGGGUAGCCGGCCUGAGAGGGUGUACGGCCACAUUGGGACUGAGAGACGGCCCAGACUACUACGGGAGGCAGCAGUGGGGAAUAUUGGACAAUGGGAGCAAGCCUGAUGCAGCGACGCCGCGUGGGGGAUGACGGCCUUGGGGUUGUAAACUCCUUUCGCUAGGGAAGAAGCGAUUUUGUGACGGUACCUGGAGAAGAAGCACCGGCUAACUACGUG
rnacentral:rRNA from 1 species